rnacentral:rRNA from 1 species
UACGGAGGGUGCAAGCGUUGCUCGGAAUCAUUGGGCGUAAAGCGUACGCAGGCUGUUCGUUAAGUCGGGUGUGAAAUCCCGGGGCUCAACCCCGGAACUGCACUCGAUACUGCUUGGCUAGAGUACUGGAGAGGAGAUUGGAAUUUACGGUGUAGCAGUGAAAUGCGUAGAUAUCGUAAGGAAGACCAGUGGCGAAGGCGGAUCUCUGGACAGUUACUGACACUGAGGCACGAAGGCCAGGGGAGCAAAGCGGG